rnacentral:lncRNA from 1 species
GAAAACUAUCUUGGUGUUCAAUUGGGCAGAAUCACAAUCUCCUUGAGGGUUUCAAGAACCCUAACACUUAUUUCUAUUCUCAAUUUGAUUCUUUGCUGAUUUGGGAAUUUUAUUUCAGAUCUGAAAAUUCAAAAAUCUAAUCUUUUAAUUUUCUGUUUCGUUUCAGAUCUAAUUGUUUAGGGUUUUCGUAGGAGUUUCUCGUGACUUGGCAACUCGAUCUUGGUCCGCGCGCAUUCCUCUAUCAUUAUGUCUGCCGGUUAAUUUGUCCUCCAAUGCUUAAAUGCUGAAUUAGUUGCAUAUAAUAUAAUGGCAUACUGUACAAA